UACGAAGGGGGCUAGCGUUGCUCGGAAUCACUGGGCGUAAAGGGUGCGUAGGCGGGUUUUUAAGUCAGAGGUGAAAUCCUGGAGCUCAACUCCAGAACUGCCUUUGAUACUGGGAAUCUUGAGUAUGGAAGAGGUGAGUGGAACUGCGAGUGUAGAGGUGAAAUUCGUAGAUAUUCGCAAGAACACCAGUGGCGAAGGCGGCUCACUGGACAUGUAUUGACGCUGAGGUGCGAAAGCGUGGGGAGCAAACAGG
rnacentral:rRNA from 1 species